rnacentral:rRNA from 1 species
UGAGUAACACGUAUGCAACCUGCCUGCCACAGCCGGAUAAUCGGGAGAAAUUCCGUCUAAUACGGCAUAAUGCAUCGACGGGACAUCCUGUUGGUGCCAAAGGUUAAUUCCGGUGGCGGAUGGGCAUGCGUCGCAUUAGUUAGUUGGCGGUGUAACGGACCACCAAGACGACGAUGCGUAGGGGUUCUGAGAGGAAGGUCCCCCAUACUGGUACUGAGACACGGACCAGACUCCUACGGGAGGCAGCAG